UCUGAAUGGGAACAGCUGCUGACAAACUGUAGUGCAUUUCUCUUCUAUGGGAUGGAGAGAUUCAUGUCUCACGUGUUGCUUCAUUGGUUGGUUGCUAUGAACAUGCCAAAAUGCCGUUUGGUGUUUCUUCUUGAUCUGGUAAGAUCACAGCAAAGUUACCAAAGAAUUGCAAACUCUGAUUCCCACAAAAGACCAUGCUGAUUUUUCAGAAAACCUGAUUAUACUCUUGAGGGACGAGACACCUUGCAGAGGGAUGUAGAUAGAUGGGAGCAUUGGGCAGUUGACAGUGACAUUAAAUUUAGCAAGAGCAAAUGACAGACUCUUCACUGGUGACAAAGUAAUGCUGGACACAAGUGUAAAUCUGGAGAGGGACAGCCGGAGAGCAGCCCUGCAGAAAGGCACUUGAGGCUGAGCCAGCACCGUGCCUGGGCAGCAACUGAGCAAAGCACAUCCUAUGGACAUAAGUAUCUCUUGACUUUUCUAAUUAUUCAUUCCAUAAAAAAGAAAUAGAAAAAAACCUAAAAAAUACUUUUUAAUUAGUGCAACAAUGCAUAAGGUAAAUCUAGUUGUCUGUGAAAUAGGUUAUACACAUAUCUACAUAUGGAAAUAUGCAGAUAUGUGAGUGUAUAAACAAACUCAUGGUAUUUUUAUAUCCUUUUUGAUCCCAGCCAUUUCCUAAA